GAUCGCAACACUGACGACCUCCGUGGCAGGAUCAAUUUGGCUGAUCACCCCAAAGACAAGAAAAAGGUUUCUGGCUCCAACCCCCAACUUUGAGGGAUGGGAGAAUUUGUGAACGCCAUGGGAGGCCUAGGUGGACGCGAUCCGAGUAAAAUCACGCUGCAAAAAGCACGGUUUCAGACACCUUGAAAGGUUGGAUGACUGGAGAUAGAGGAGGAGGAAGUGGUGCCCUCAGCUCCCCAGCUCCAGAAAGAGGAAGUGGACAGUUCACUUGAGGUGACAGUGACUUUUCCUAAAGACAAAUUUUGUCAUGCAUUAUGGAAUUUUGUGCCAGGGUGGAUUAAAGCCAGACCGAGAGUCUCAUUGCAGCCUGAUAACGAAACAUCAACAAGUCAACUGAACGACAAUCCACACAGAAAAUAAGACUUCCAUCCACUCACUGCCAGGUGCUGCAUAUUUGAUCACUACAGAGAACGUUUCAAAUUUAGUUAAUUAUCAUAUUAACUUGAUUAUAGUCUUUGAUUAUCCACUGGUUUCAGCAAUUCGUCAUCUUUCUUAAACUAACACUUUGAAUCUGUUUCCAAUGGGACCAGUCCAGCUGCCCUAAUACAAGAUGUUCAAAAACUGAAUAGCAAUAGUGAGAGUUUGACUCACCAAUCAGGUAAAACACGGGGGCUGGACUUGAUAGUGGUAAAAGCAUGUUUUUUUGUUGAGAAAAUGUUUUUGUUGACAAUAGAUUAUGGACUAUGCAGAAUUCUCUGGAAAAGGAAAUAUAGGGCACAAAGUGUCCCAAAGAAACAUAAUGGCUAGAAAAGCAAAAAUAUUUGUCACUCCAUUUCAUUUGAAGGUAAUUUUCUGGAUUCAAUAAAAACAAUAAAUCUAAUUUGAAACUUUUGAAACCACAUGCUGUCAUCACCAAAAGGGUACGAGAUAGAAAUGUUUUAUUUUUGUCCGUGGAUCUGAGAUUGUGAGAAGAUCUCCAAAUCUUCUUUUAAAUAGCUUAUGAGCAACAACAAAAAGAUUGAAAAUUGAAAAAUUGCAAUCAAUGACAAAUUGCAUUUGAGAAAUUAGAACUGGUUUUCUCAACUGCAACUCUAGUCCUAUAUGAUUAUUAUUUUAAAGUGUUUAAUCUAUUUGAUUUUGAAAAGUUAGGUUUGAACCUACGCUGGUCUCAAGGUUAGGUUCGAUUACGAUUAUCAUGUUAUCGAUUUUAGUUCAAUUCGAUAUCACGAUGCAUAAUGAUGCACUGUGUCCUCAAUUUUCAAUUCAGAUUUCGAAAAGUGAUGUGUGUGUUUGCCUGUCCGUCACAAAGCAGAUAUUCAACAAAUGACGUCAGAAAAGCGUCAGCACAUUAUAAUUGGUAAUGGUCUAUUACUGAACCGAUGCUGUAUUGUCCUCAUUUGCAUAGCAAUGCAUUGUUGAAAUGAUUAAAUUCGACACCGCUAGUUUUUAAGGUGUAAACUUGGACACAUGGCGACUGCAUCGGAUCCUAACGUUUAGACACUGUCGCAAGGGGAAUGCCACAGUGUGUCUACGUUCAGUAGAUUCUGUCGUAAAAGUUGUUACCGUUCGGAUUUGGUGGUAUUCCACUCAAUAAUAGCCAAUAUAUUCCCCAUUCAGUUCAUAAACUGCUAAGGCAGACAAAAAGGUAUGAUUCUCUGGCCAGAGAGAGGGGUGUGUGAAAGUGUAUGAAUGUGAAUGUGUGAAAUACGGUGAUCUGAGGGACACCAAGACAAGUUAAUAUCAAUCAAAACACCUGUGUUUAAAUUUAUUAAGUGGAAUGGAAAAUUUUGCCUAACUAUUCUGAGUGUUUGAGUUAUUGUAGUGGCAGAAAGAAACAGUGCCACAGUGGAGACCACCACAUAUGGGCUGGGAGCCACAUGAUCAAAGAACAUUGCCUGAAACUGCUGUGUGUGAAAAAGAGAUGCUGCUGUAAAAAAAAAGCAGCUGUACCGGAGGUGGCAGACGGACCACUGCAUUCCAUCCGGCCUGGUGAUUUCGUGGUCAUCAAGGACUUUAGAAGGAAGCACUGGAGACAAAAGAGGUGGCAAGGGCCAUACCAGGUGCUACUGGUCACUCACACUGCCGUGAAGGUCGCAGAGAAGGUGCCGUGGAUCCAUGGGACGCACUGUCGAAAAAGUGCUGGAGCCAUUAACGGGAGAGCCAUCCCGCACACAGCCAGAGAAUUCGAGAAUUCAGAGCAAUUAGAUUGGGGCUGUUCAAUUGCUGACUUCUCAAUCCAACAAAACAGCCACUGGCCAAAAGACGAAGAACUGUGUUUAAACGACCCAAGCAUAUUAGGGGUGGUACAAAGGCACGCAAAAUAACUUUAUUCAUUCAACGGUGAAGGAGAAGCGGUGACGUUUCCAAGCAUAACAACUCGACCAGGACUCAGACCAUUGAUCUAUAGAACAACUGGGACAUUUGAUUUUGAACAACAACAUUUCUUGGCCUGGCAUGGGAAUGUGGGAGAUGUUGAGACUGAUGGAGUUAUUGAGGAAUGGAAGUAGUGCAGGAGAGGAUGCUGGCUGUACAAAUCUGAUGGAGCAUUACACACUAUGGGCAGUAAAGCUGCAGGUUGGAGAUAUAUGUAUGUGAA